CUUUCCUUGUGAAAGAGGAAGAAAGAACAAAAUAUUUAAAAUAUUUGACAGUUCAAAUGAUAAUUCCAAUUGAUUGAAAAGCUAGGCAAGAAAUCCCCAAAAAGUUGACCGUGACAGUGAACACAGCUCUCAAUAUGUUCAGUCAUUAUGGAACAGAAAUUAAUCAAGCAUUAAUCCUUGCACUAAACAUUUUUCUCUUAUCAUGUAUAUAUACACUAUAAAUAGCUCGAUUGUAAUCAUGUUUUGUCUCUCCGCUGACUGGUUGGCUCUCAACAAAAGCUGUUCACUGUACCUCGGUACACGUGACAAUAAACUAAACUAACUGACAAUUUUGAGGCAUUUACUAAUGUCAGUAGCUCACAUUAAUCCUUCCAAUUAAUGCUAGUUUCAAAUCUAUUGCCAUGCAAUAGAUGGCACAGAGACUGAUCUCUGUUGUUCAAGAACUGAGUUGUGAUAUUCAAUCAACCGCCAGGCUUGAAGAGGAGAAUGUUAUGAAUCUUUUUGAAUAGAAAUUAAUUCAUAGCUCUCACCCAAAUUUCUAAAUCUUUACAGAAAAAAUGAAUGCAGGCAUUUUAUUUAAAAGACUGACGACCUAUAAACUUCUUUACAGAGUAAAUAACACCUAAAAUGGUUUUCCACAUUUGAAGUUUGAACUACUGCAGAGUAAUUCAAGAUGCUAUUGGAUGCCACAAUAUCAGAACUGUUGACAUCCAAGACAGAGAUUUGCACACCAAUGCUUGGACUCUGGUGAUUCAACCAACUCGAUCUUUGUGAUUGCACAUGAAGUGCUACCAUGAAGAGGAUACUUUGGGCUCUUAUUAUCCUUGCAGUGCUUCAAAUGGUUUUUCUCAACAGAGGAAUAUUAUUUCAUCCAAUAAUGGAAGACAGUACGAUGUUCAUACUCAUUAUGAAUACACCUGCUAAGAAGUCUUUAGGAUAAAAGUUACUGUAUAAUAGGGUAGGUAUCUGUAAUAUAAUGCUACUCGUCUUUGUAAAUGGGCCUCAAUUCAGAUUUGUGCCAUAAUGAGACUAAAUCAUUUUUCUAAUUUUAUUAAAAAGUAUCUAGAUUUCUACCA